rnacentral:rRNA from 1 species
GACAGAGGGUGCAAACGUUGUUCGGAAUUACUGGGCGUAAAGGGCGCGUAGGCGGCGGGUCAAGUCGAGUGUGAAAGCCCCGGGCUCAACCUGGGAAUUGCGCUCGAGACUGGUCUGCUUGAGUUCGGGAGAGGAGAGUGGAAUUCCCAGUGUAGAGGUGAAAUUCGUAGAUAUCGGGAGGAACACCAGUGGCGAAGGCGGCGACCUGGGCCAAUAUUGACGCUGAGGUGCGAAAGCGUGGGGAGCAAACAGG